GGUGCAGCUGAUGAUUUCAAGCGACCAAAGCCUGAGAGUUCAUGAUUGUAACUUUUAUGGCAACUGAUGUACC
rfam:Phoenicopterus ruber ruber contig46931, whole genome shotgun sequence.